CCCUUAGAUGUUCUGGGCCGCACGCGUGCUACACUGAGUGGAUCAGCGGGUCAGGUUGCGCGAAAGUGUUUCCUAAUCUUGAAAUCCGCUCGUGAUGGGGAUUGACGGUUGCAAUUUUCCGUCAUGAACGAGGAAUACCUUGUAAGCGCGGGUCAUCAUCCCGCGCUGAAUACGUCCCUGCCCUUUGUACACACCGCCCGUCGCUCCUACCGAUUGAGUGGUCCGGUGAACUGGUCGGACUGCUGUUUGAAAUUGCGGGUGCAGUUGAUUCACGGGAAGUCUAGUAAACCUUAUCAUCUAGAGGAAGGAGAAGUCGUAACA
rnacentral:rRNA from 1 species